CGGCGGACGGGUGAGUAACACGUGGAUAACCUACCUAUAGGACUGGGAUAACUUCGGGAAACCGGAGCUAAUACCGGAUAAUAUAUUGAACCGCAUGGUUCAAUAGUGAAAGACGGUUUUGCUGUCACUUAUAGAUGGAUCCGCGCCGCAUUAGCUAGUUGGUAAGGUAACGGCUUACCAAGGCGACGAUGCGUAGCCGACCUGAGAGGGUGAUCGGCCACACUGGAACUGAGACACGGUCCAG
rnacentral:rRNA from 1 species